rnacentral:rRNA from 1 species
AUACGGAAGAUGCGAGCGUUAUCCGGAUUUAUUGGGUUUAAAGGGAGCGUAGGCGGAUUGUUAAGUCAGCGGUCAAAUGUCGGUGCCCAACAUCGUCCUUCCGUUGAAACUGGCAGUCUUGAAUGCACACAGGGAAGGUGGAAUUCGUCGUGUAGCGGUGAAAUGCUUAGAUAUGACGAGGAACUCCGAUCGCGAAGGCAUCCUUCUGGAGUGCGAUUUACGCUGAGGCUCGAAAGCGCGGGUAUCAAACAGGAUUAGAUACCCUGGUAGUCCGCGCCGUAAACGAUGGAUGCUCGUCAUUGUGGCAUUAGUUUCAGUGACCAAGCGAAAGCAUUAAGCAUCCCACCUGGGGAGUACGCCGGCAACGGUGAAACUCAAAGGAAUUGACGGGG